ensembl:lncRNA novel transcript
AGGCCGGCUCUGGGGCUCUGCGCUCCUCGGAUUACGCAUGCUCAGUGCAAUCUUCGGUUGCCUGGACUAGCGCUCCGGUUUUUCUGUGCUGAACCUCAGGGGACGCCGACACACGUACACGUCCCUUCGAUAGCUCAGCUGGUAGAGCGGAGGACUGUAGCUACUUCCUCAGCAGGAGACAUCCUUAGGUCGCUGGUUCGAUUCCGGCUCGAAGGAGACAAGUGCGGUUUUUUUCUCCAGCUCCCGAUGACUUAUGGCACUUUCCUUGGGUGCCUUCAGUGACACAUUGCAUUCCAACGAGCAGUUUGAAAGUCUAGCGCUUUCUCCCCAUUUUGGGCCUCCCAGCCUGCACGGGACUCAUCUGAGGCUAAGCUGCCCAUAGUUCGGGGAGACCCACAGGGAAAACAAAACAAGAAACAGAGAACUUGGAAACGGACGCUGAUUACUUUGAACGUUUGCUCAACCGAGGAAGCAGGAACUGUUCGGCCCCAUCUCAAGUCCGCAGGGCGGACUGCCUGGCUCUGGGCAGAUCCGAGGUGGAUAGGACAAGGCAAAAGGUAGCCCUGGAGAGCUGUACUCUCCAUCUAACCAUAAGUUCUUUGUUCUGUUUGAUGAACAAAUGGCUCCUUAAACUAAGCCUGGAUUAUUUUCAAGUACCUGGACUUGCAAUUACCUGCACCAAAGAGACAAAAGAGAACAUGGAUGAAAAACACACUGAGCUCUUACUAUAUAAUAAAGAACUUAGCUGGUCUUUGUCCCAAGUCCCUGAGUGGGAGCCUCUAAAUCCUUAGAAUUUCCCGAGUGACAGACAUGCCUUUGUUAUUCAUCGUGGGCCCUGCUAGUUUAUGCUAAUGAGAUAACUAUGGACGGGGAAGGGGGGUUGGGGCUAGCCAUGUCAGAAAGACCAACCAUGAGAUGAGAAUCUUGGGGCUUUAAGCCAUGUGAUGUCAGCCCAACCUCCAGGGAGGCAAGGAGAAGCUGAAGAUUGAGAUCAGUCACAAAGCUAAUGAUUCCAUCAAUCAUGCCUGCAUAAUGAAACCCCCAUAAGAACUCUGGACACAGAAGCUCGGGUGACCUUCCCUGGUUAACAGCACUCUGUGUGCAUUGUUACACAUUCGUGUGCCAGGAGGGUGAUGCAUCCUGACUCCACUGGGAGAGGACAUGGAAGUUCACAUUUGGGACACCCUGCAACCUUGCCCUAUGCAUUUCUUCUUUUGGCCGGUCUUAAUUUGUAUUCUUUUUGGCUCUAAUAAAACUGUAAUCAUAAAUAUAA